rnacentral:rRNA from 1 species
AUGAGCGUACCAGUAGAAUAAGGAGCUGCAAACUUCGUGCCAGCAGCCGCGGUAAUACGAAGGCUCCAAGCGUUAUCCGGAUUUAUUGGGCGUAAAGGGUCUCCAGGCGGUUUUGUUAGUCCGCUGUUAAAUCUCGACGCUUAACGUCGAGGCCGCAGUGGAAACGGCAAAACUAGAGGCGGGUAGAGGCAUAUGGAACUCACGGUGUAGGGGUGAAAUCCGUUGAUAUCGUGGGGAACACCAAAGGCGAAGGCAAUAUGCUGGGCCUGUCCUGACGCUCAUGAGACGAAAGCGUGGGGAGCGAAUAGGAUUGACAGAAUGCUCGCAAUUGUGCCAAAGAUUUUUCCAGCUGCGGUUUGGACAAAACUUCCUCGCACACGUCGCAAUAUGAUUAAGAGAAAUUUGAACUCAACCAAUUUUAAUUUUGCUCGGCAAAAUUAAAAAUUGGGAUUCAAACAGCAAAUUUCUCUUAUAUUGCUUGUGUGCUCGUUGUUUUGUUUGCCAAACCUCCGCAAUGGAAAAAUUUCGGCACCAAUUGCUCGUUGAGAGAUUUAGAAGAAAAAAAGAAAGGAUAAAGAAGUGAAAAAGGAUACGGCGCUUUAUGAUUAUUUGUGUGAUUUAGCCAGGAAGAAUGGUGUAUCGGAAGAAUGGGUUAAGGAAGUUGCUAGCCGGAUAUAUGGGAAAUUGAUGAGCGACUUGGAAGUGGUAAUUAAAAAUUUUAAAGAAGUAGGAAGAAACCGAAAGUAAUACAAACAGAAGAAAUUUAAUCUCUUAAGCGAACGUAAGGGUAUUACGCGAGCAACUAGUCCAGUUAGUUACAUGUUUCAUGUUACAUGUCUCAUGUCGCUAAUUUAAACUUGGCUAUAUCGGGGAAACUCCUCUAGCACUUCUGUGCUAGCGCAGAAAUACGCAGAACAAACGCAGAACAACGCAGAAUUAAUUUCUGCGACUGUCUGCGUAAUGUCUGCGAAAAUCUGCGCUGUUCGCAAGGCGAACAGAGGACAAUCCCGAGGGAAGGCUCUGAUUUUGAAUCGGAGAACCCGUAGAGACUACACGCCGAGCCGAGCACCUUUUGAAAAAAGGUGCUUGGAUGAUAUAGUCCGACCUCGGCAGUAAUGCCGAGAGACAGGCAGAAAUGACCUGUCCACUAAACAACAAAAAGAAAAAAAGAAAGAAGAAAAAAUGAAGACAGUAAAAGUGGUUAAAGGAAGAAGGUUGGUAAAGAUGACCAAAAAAGAAUUGCGGAGCUUAAUAGAAACACGGAGAGGUUAAUAAGAUUGAUUUCACGGUGGCAGAAGAUUUCGGAACGGGAAAAAUCAAAAAGAAGGAAAAAGUGAUAUGCCAAUAUAUUGGGCGAUUGCUACAUCUUCGAAAUAUCCGGAUGUUUAUGUAAAGAAAAUUGAAGCGAUAGAUGAUGCGGAUGCUACUGAACAAGCAAAAAAGUGGCAUCGUGAAGAUAUUGGUCCUCGUUAUGAAUAUGUUGUGGCGAAAGAAAUUGAUAUGCCAAAGCCAUCUUGCUGAAAGAAUUAAGAAAGUCGUCCGUGCGGCGACAGAAAAAACCAUAAAGAGUAGAAUAGUAAAAUUAUAAAAAAUGGGCGGGUGGAAAACCGCUCGCCCAGAAUUUUCUUUUUGUCAGUUUUCUAACCAAUAACUAACUACCAACAAGUAACAAUACGUGUUGUGGGUUGUGGGUUGUCAGUUGUAGGUUAGUAUAGUAACAAUAGUGUAGAUACCCUAGUAGUCCACGCCCUAAACGAUGCAGACUCGCUAUCGGAAGUAUCGACCCUUUCGGUGGCCAAGCUUACGCGUUAAGUCUGCCGCCUGGGAAGUACGGCCGCAAGGCUAAAACUCAAAGGAAUAGACGGGAGUUCGCACAAGCGGUGGUUCAUGCGGUUCAAUUCGAUGACAACCGAGGAACCUCACCAGGGCUUGAAAUGCUGAAAAAAGUUCCGGGAAACCGGAAUGUACCACAAGGAUGUCAGCACAGGUGCUGCACGGUCCUCGUCAGUUCGUGGUGUAAACUGUUCCCUUAAGUGGGGUAACGAACGCAACCCUCAUCCUAUGUUAUAUGUGUCAUAGGAAACUGCCUCUUUAUAAGGGGAGGAAGGUGGGGAUGACGCGAGAUCAGCGUGGCCCUCUGAUGCCCUGGGCUACACGCAUGAAACAAUGGCGCCGACAAAGCGUAGCAAAGCCGUAAGGCGGAGCCAAUCGCACCAAACGGCGCCUCAGUUCAGAUUGGGGUCUGCAACUCGACCCCAUGAAGAAGGAAUCGCUAGUAAACGCCGAUCAGCUAUGCGGCGUUGAAUACGUUCUCGAACUUUGUACUCACCGCCGAGUAAUAAGUGCCCGGCAGCUUAGUUAACUAGCAGGUUAAAAUCCUGCCCCUCGUUCAAAAACGGGGCGUAGCCAAAAAAAUUUAGCAGUCCAACUCCGUAAGGAUGUGGAUAGAGGGCUUGAGGCAAACGACAGCCUAUAGUAUAAUCAAAAUAUUGAACGACUGCGGCGGGCGGUCAGCAGGAAGUUUAAUUAAGUAUUUGGUUAUAGGAUGCCGAGAAAAGUUAAUUAAGUGACCCGGGGAGAUCCUAGACAGUCCGAGUCUUAUUAUCUGUUUAGGAAGUCAGCAGGAGUCGUAGUAUCCCGCUUUUAGCGGGAGAAGGACCCUACCAAAAAUAUGCUAUCACCAGAUUAUAUUGUUGGAUUAACUGACGGAGAAGGCAGUUUUACUGCUUAUAUUAGGCCACCUAAGAAAGAGCAUGGUUCUAAGAGUUACAGAAUUGAAUGUCAUUAUUACAUUAAAUUACGUGAUGACGACCGAUUGCUUUUAGAAAAUGUUAAGAAAUUCUUUCGAGUGGGAAGAGUUUCAUUUCAGAGGGAAAAUAGGCCUAACCAUCACCACGCAUAUCGUUUUGAAGUUACUAAUUUGAAUGACUUGCAAAGUGUGAUAAUUCCUUUCUUUGAAAAACACAAACUUCAAAGUAAAAGGAUUACAGAUUUUGAGUUGUUUAAGAAAAUUCUUCGAGCGGUAUUAAGAAAAGAACACCAGAAUAAAGAUGGUUUAAAAGAAAUCCAACAGUGGAAAUCAAAGAUGCAUAAAUAUUUGGGCUCGCUGAAUACGGGAAAUCCGUACGUUCAGUCUCGAUAUGGAAAGUCGAGGUCCCGCUAAAAGCGGGAUGGGAACGGGAAAUAGACUCAAUUAUCCCAAUCCGUCACGUCAAGGGAGCCGGGAGUAGCCGAAACUUGGGGCAACCCAAACUAAGCUAAGCUCGGUGACAGGGACGAAGUCGUAACAAGGCAUCGGUAGCGGAAGCUGUCGAUGGAACAUUUC